rfam:Phycicoccus sp. Soil802 contig_3, whole genome shotgun sequence.
GCCGGCGUGGCGCAAUUGGCAGCGCACUUGUCUUGUAAACAAGGGGUUAGGGGUUCAAGUCCCCUCGUCGGCU